rnacentral:rRNA from 1 species
AUUGAACGCUGGCGGCAGGCCUAACACAUGCAAGUCGAACGGUAACAGGAAGAAGCUUGCUUCUUUGCUGACGAGUGGCGGACGGGUGAGUAAUGUCUGGGAAACUUCCUGAUGGAGGGGGAUAACUACUGGAAACGGUAGCUAAUACCGCAUAACGUCGCAAGACCAAAGAGGGGGACCUUCGGGCCUCUUGCCAUCGGCUGUGCCCAGAUGGGAUUAGCUAGUAGGUGGGGUAACGGCUCACCUAGGCGACGAUCCCUAGCUGGUCUGAGAGGAUGACCAGCCACACUGGAACUGAGACACGGUCCAGACUCCUACGGGAGGCAGCAGUGGGGAAUAUUGCACAAUGGGCGCAAGCCUGAUGCAGCCAUGCCGCGUGUAUGAAGAAGGCCUUCGGGUUGUAAAGUACUUUCAGCUGGGAGGAAGGGAGUAAAGUUAAUACCUUGGCUCAUUGACGUUACCCGCAGAAGAAGCACCGGCUAACUCCGUG